UGGGGAAUAUUGGACAAUGGGCGGAAGCCUGAUCCAGCCAUGCCGCGUGUGUGAAGAAGGCCUUUUGGUUGUAAAGCACUUUAAGCGAGGAGGAGGCUACUUGGAUUAAUACUCUAGGAUAGUGGACGUUACUCGCAGAAUAAGCACCGGCUAACUCUGUGCCAGCAGCCGCGGUAAUACAGAGGGUGCGAGCGUUAAUCGGAUUUACUGGGCGUAAAGCGUGCGUAGGCGGCUUCUUAAGUCGGAUGUGAAAUCCCUGAGCUUAACUUAGGAAUUGCAUUCGAUACUGGGAAGCUAGAGUAUGGGAGAGGAUCGUAGAAUUCCAGGUGUAGCGGUGAAAUGCGUAGAGAUCUGGAGGAAUACCGAUGGCGAAGGCAGCCAUCUGGCCUAAUACUGACGCUGAGGUACGAUAGCAUGGGGAGCAAACAGG
rnacentral:rRNA from 1 species